AGCUAGAGUGCCCUCUCAUUGUUGAUCCUAUGAAGCUUACUAAAUUGAGAGAGCUAAUCCCUAACUGAUGUUUUUUAGGAGGAAUGGACAAUCUUGGAAAUUUGUUCUGCUUGUCCAGCGGUAGUAGAUUUACGUCUCAUCAGGUGUCAAGGAGUACAAGAUCUAUUAAUAUCUGAUCUCCCCAAACUUCUAAAGCUUACAAUACAUCAACCAGAUGAAAUAGGUUUGGAAUAUAGAAGUAUCAGGAUACAAGCUGUUAAUCUUCAAAGUCUAUAUUACAGAGGAUGUAACAGCCAGUUAACGUUUGACGUGACCACUUUCAAGUUUCUGAAAGAACUGAGCAUAACAUUUGAGCAGAUUACUGACCCGAUAGUAGAGAAUAUUGUUUCUGAACUGCCCCUUCUUGAGAAAUUAGAAUUGAACUUUUGUUUCAAGGCUUAAAUUUACAAGUUGUAUGCUUAGACAGUUAACAUUCCGUUCUGGCAAGAGUCUAAUGGAAAUUGGGAUCGACACUCCAAACCUGCUCCGUUUUGAAUAUGAAGCUCCUAAAUUGCCUGUCAUAUUCUCUAUGACAACAUCUUCCCUACAGGAAUGUUAUCUCAAAUUAAUGCCAAACGAUCAUCUAAGCACGAGUUGGUUUCAGAAUUUAAAAGAAUAUCUAUCUAGAUUUGAAUAACUGAAUUUACUGGUUCUGUGUAUAGGUUCAACGACUAAUACAUUCAAUGUGGAAGAACUGAAUGGAACAUUAUCCUGCCCGCCAUCUAUUGUCAAGCAUGUGAAGAUAGAGCAAGUUCUGGAGUCUCUAAAUUUUGAAACUCUGUUAGAUGGUUUGUUUUGGAUUUGUCAUCCAGAGACUCUGUCAAUUGAAAGAAUCUGGUGGGAACAAUGAGGAUUUUAUACAGUUUUUGAGGGAGAAACUAAUGCAAAGAGAGAUUGUUCCUGUCUGUUGUGACUCGAGACGUUUCAAAUGUUGGAGGUACUGCCUUAAAUUGAAGUUGAGAACUCCACUGCACGGUAUGGGGAUCUUGCUUCAUCAUCUCGAGCCUCGACCAUUUGUUUCAAACUGACAUGGUAGAAUAUGCUGACAUUAGAAGCGCACUGGUCUAGGGCUGAAAAUUCAUCUUGUCCAUCUUGAUUUGCUUAUAUUCACA